rnacentral:rRNA from 1 species
AAAAGCUUUCUUUAAUUGAAUAAUUGAAUUUAAUUUUUUAGUGCAAAAGCAAAAAUAAAAAUUAGGGACAAGAAGACCCUAUGAAUUUUUUAUUAAAUUUUAUAAAACUUUAUAUAAAAUUUAAUUUAAUUGGGGUGAUGGAAAAAGAAUAAAUAUCUUUUUUUUUUAAAAAAAUUGGUUCCGUUUUUAGCGAUUAAAUGAAAAAAAUACUCUAGGGAUAACAGCGUAAUAAUUUUGGAUAGUUCAUAUAGAUAAAAUAGUUUGCGACCUCGAUGUUGGAUUAGGAUUCUUUUUUGGUGAAGAAGUUAAAAAAAGAAGUUUGUUCAACUUAUAAUUUCCUACUUGAUCUGAGUUCAGACCGG